AUACUCGCCUGGCAGGGAGAUAUCCUCAUCAACAAGGGUGCUUUCAGGAACUGAGACUCUUCUCUAUCACUCCUGACCUCUUUUCUCAGAUCAGGGAACCUUGACUGUAAAAUUUGUGGAGAGGAGGACAGUGUUUGCCCUUUCUCCUG
rnacentral:snRNA from 10 species